rnacentral:lncRNA from 1 species
ACCAUCAGGUGAUGGUCAGGCAGUUGUUAAACUGUCUCUCUAAAGUAAUCAUUGGUUGCAGCUGGUGCCAGGGAAAGACAGUCUCCCAAUAAAUAGAAACACCUGAAGCUGGUGAUCAGCAGCUUCCUGAUAAGAUCUCAGGAGUCGGAUGAGAGGGCUCACACAUGCGCACUAAGAGGCAAAAUGGCAGUCUUUAACUGUUGACAUGACCUCCUUGGAACAUUCAGACUGAGAACUACCUGUAAUUUGAGCGAAAAAAAUCUUCUUUUGGAAACUCCUUAAGAUAUAGUCUGCCUUACUGCACGCUAUUGAGGCAGCGGUGUAUGUGCAGUGCCUAUUACUCCAUCUUGACAAGAAAUGGAAGAACUCACCAUUGUCUUUUGAUAUUUUAAACUGCAUUACUUUCAUAUAUUAUCUCACUUAUUUUUAUAUUUUAAUGGAAAUAUCUACUCAGCAUGAUAAAACAGUUUUGUUUUUCUCAUAUUGCCAGAAGGAAUACACAGUUUCUUUAAUAUGAAAGGCAAUUUUAUACAUCCGCACAAAGAGUAACACUUCAUUCAUAGUAUGCUACACGUAUAGGAAGGUUGGUGAAUAUCUGCAGUUUGUACUUUCGAGUUGAUUUUUUUUUUUUUAGUUUUUAAUUUUGGGUUAUUUUCUCUUUAAUUUAACUUCUAUGUAUUUGUAAACUAAGUGAUAAUUUUUGACAUAUAUUCAAGACUUAAGUAAUAUUCCAUUAAAUCA